rnacentral:lncRNA from 1 species
GCCCAGGGAGGAAAAGGGGAGGGGGAAAGAGUUAUUCCAAAGUGCUCUGGGACCGCUGCUGGGGCAGCUCAUCUCUAAGAGGAAACACAUGUUAUCCAGUCCUGUGCCUAAUAGGGUUGGACAGUAAUUAAAAAAUAUAUUUUAUUUGCAGAGCUGGGUCUUGAAACUAACAACUCGUGCCAUUAAUCUUAGUGAUUUAUAGUGAAGAUUUGACCGAGGGUCAGCAAGUGGGGUUUUGCUGGUGGUGCAGGGCCAUGCACUGUGAUGGGAUGAUACAGUCCUCAGCAGGACCAGUGUUACCACCGACAGUAGUUGGGAAAGGAGACACAUGACAACUGAACCCACAGCUCUUGAAUCCCAUCUAGAACUGCUAGCACUUCCUCCAGAAUACAAUGUAGGUGAGGCAGAGUUGUUGGAUGGAGUGGGAAUUAGGAAAAGAAUGGUUAUGGCCAUACUUGCUUGUUUUGCUCCUGUCAGAGGUGGCUCAGCGGAGCCUGUCUACCACUGAGCUGGAAACCAUGAAAUUUGCAUUCCCACAUGUAAAUACAAGCUAGCAGCUGAUGGGUUGUCUAAACCUUACGCUCUACCAUGCUAACUGCGUUGUAGACCUGUCUCAUCUGUCCUUCUAUGGAACUCUUCUGGCUUAUGGUGCCCUGCCCUGUUCCACUGGUAAAACCCAAUAUGCAGAGGGGUUGUGACCAGCACCGCCGGGCACAGCUAUUGCUCAGGUGAAAAUCUAUCCACAUCCAGAGUUGCUGUGACAUAGCAACUUUCUAAGGAAGUUCUGGAGGCCAAUUUUUUAGCCAGCCUCUAGCACAACAUGGGGAAACAUCAAUUAAGCCCCCUUGUCUUUUCAUUUCUCUUCAAUGUGGCUUCAGUAAAGAGAGAUACUCUUCAGUUUAGAGAAGCACAAGGAACUGUGAUGGGACGGAUCUUCAUAAAAUUAAAGGACUGGGCGAAUGAAGUGACACCAUUGAGCCAUUGGGAAAUGAAGCAGCCACGUCCUGGCUGAGCUGAUGUCAGCUCCUGGUUUUCUUUCUGCAAAGCUGAAGUUUGAUUAUAUAACCCUGCCUCUGUCAUUUGACAGGCAAAUGUGCUCAGGCCCCUAACAUUUGCACUGCUGCUCUUGCUGCCAUUAAGAGAGCCUAUCGCCUUGUAAAAACGUAACUACAUGUGUUUCAUAAAAAUCUACGUAAGAAUAACAGCAGUGGGGUACUUACAUCUUUUUGGAACAAUUGAAUUCUGAAACAAGCAUCUCUGGUUCUUCCACCCGCAAAUGGAUCAAAUUACAUUUCACUAGGUAAUAAAGUGUGGUACAAAAGCCUGUCCA